GCCACGAACGGACCCCCGGGCCAUAGCAGCUGCAGCGGAACCGAUCGACAGAAGAUCAUGGCCGCCGCCUCCUCCGCCGUCUCUGGCCUCGCCGGCGCCGCCCUCGCCAGCCGGCCGGCUUUCUCCACCAGUAUGUGCACAAUGCCCCUUCUUGCAUGCGCAGUUGUAUCAUGUAUGGAGGUGGAGAACUGAUGACGUUGACGAUCCUUGCGUUGCAGGCUUCGUGCGGGGCGGCCGGGUGUCGGCCAGGAACCCGCUGAUGACGAGGAACCUGGAGAGGAACGGCAGGAUCACCUGCAUGACGUGAGUACACCUCUGGCUAGCUUUGCCCAAGAGCGGCAGCGCGCGUUGUUCAUGUUGUCUCUGUGAAAUCGUUGCUGAUCGAUCUCGGCGGUUUUUUCCUUUCCCGUGUACGUGCUCGCCAGGUUUCCCCGGGACUGGCUGCGGAGGGACCUGAGCGUGAUCGGCUUCGGCCUCAUCGGGUGGAUCGGCCCGUCCAGCGUCCCCGUCAUCAACGGCAACAGCCUCACGGGCCUCUUCUUCUCCAGCAUCGGCGAGGAGCUCGCCCACUUCCCCACGCCCCCGCCAGUCACCUCCCAGUUCUGGUCAGGCUCAAGACCUCGCGCUCACGCUCUGCCUGGCCACUGUUUCUGACUUUCUGUACGGCAGCAGCAGCAUUUGAUGGGGCUUGUAACUGACAGACUCACACACGAAAUUGUUGCAGGCUGUGGAUGGUGACAUGGCACCUGGGCCUGUUCAUCGUGCUCACCUUCGGCCAGAUCGGCUUCAAGGGCAGGACCGAGGACUACUUCGAGAAGUGAAGCGGCUGAGCUCCAUCUGCUGAAGCGGCGUGCGUGCCGCAUCGAACCUUGCUUUGUAUAGGGCUCUGAUCUGGCUGAAUUCAUGUGUGGUGCUGCUUUUGUGAUGAGCUCAAUGUAAAUGAGUAAAUCUACCGUCCCCCUGCUGC
rnacentral:lncRNA from 1 species